UACGGGGGGAGCAAGCGUUGUUCGGAUUUACUGGGCGUAAAGGCGGGUAGGCGGCCACCGCAAGUCAGUUGUGAAAUCUCCGGGCUUAACCCGGAAAGGUCAACUGAUACUGCGGGGCUAGAGUGCAGAAGGGGCAACUGGAAUUCUCGGUGUAGCGGUGAAAUGCGUAGAGAUCCGGAAGAACACCGGUGGCGAAGGCGGUUAGCUGGGCAGUUGCUGACACUGAGGCGCGACAGCGUUGGGGAG
rnacentral:rRNA from 1 species